rnacentral:rRNA from 1 species
AGUAGAGUGGCGCACGGGUGAGUAACGCGUAAAUAAUCUACCCCUGUGUUCGGGAUAACCGAUCGAAAGGUCGGCUAAUACCGGAUACAUCUCUGAGUCGCGAGACUUUGAGGGAAAGGUGGCCUCUGAUGUAAGCUACCGCAUAGGGACGAGUUUGCGUACCAUUAGCUUGUUGGUGGGGUAAAGGCCUACCAAGGCGACGAUGGUUAACGGGUCUGAGAGGAUGAUCCGUCACACUGGCACUGGAACACGGGCCAGACUCCUACGGGAGGCAGCAGUGAGGAAUAUUGCGCAAUGGGGGAAACCCUGACGCAGCGACGCCGCGUGGGUGAGGAAGGCUUUCGGGUCGUAAAGCCCUGUCAGGUGGGAAGAAAUGUUUAGCGGUUAAUACCCGUUAAGUUUGACGGUACCACCAAAGGAAGCACCGGCUAACUCCGUGCCAGCAGCCGCGGUAAUACGGAGGGUGCGAGCGUUGUUCGGAAUUACUGGGCGUAAAGGGCGCGUAAGC